rnacentral:rRNA from 1 species
UGCUACGCAAGAGCACUCUAACGAGACUGCCGUUGACAAAACGGAGGAAGGUGGGGACGAUGUCAAAUCAUCAUGCCCCUUAUGUCCUGGGCUACACACGUAAUACAAUGGCGUUUAACAGAGGGAAGCAAAGCCGCGAGGCGGAGCAAAUCCCCAAAAGGCGUCUCAGUUCGGAUUGCAGGCUGCAACCCGCCUGCAUGAAGUCGGAAUUGUUAGUAAUCGCGGAUCAGCAUGCCGCGGUGAAUACGUUCCCGGGCCUUGUACACACCGCCCGUCACACCAUGAGAGUCGGGAACACCCGAAGUCGGUAGUCUAACCGCAAGGAGGGCGCCGCCGAAGGUGGGCUUGAUAAUUGGGGUGAAGUCGUAACAAGGUA